rnacentral:rRNA from 1 species
GGCUCAGAUUGAACGCUGGCGGCAUGCCUUACACAUGCAAGUCGAGCGGCAGCGCGGGGGCAACCCUGGCGGCGAGCGGCGAACGGGUGAGUAAUACAUCGGAACGUGUCCUGUCGUGGGGGAUAACCAGUCGAAAGACUGGCUAAUACCGCAUGAGAUCGAAAGAUGAAAGCGGGGGACCGCAAGGCCUCGCGCGAUUGGAGCGGCCGAUGUCGGAUUAGCUAGUUGGCGGGGUAAAAGCCCACCAAGGCGACGAUCCGUAGCUGGUUUGAGAGAACGACCAGCCACACUGGGACUGAGACACGGCCCAGACUCCUACGGGAGGCAGCAGUGGGGAAUUUUGGACAAUGGGCGCAAGCCUGAUCCAGCCAUGCCGCGUGUGUGAAGAAGGCCUUCGGGUUGUAAAGCACUUUCGGCCGGAACGAAAUCGCGCGGGUGAACAUCCCGCGUGGAUGACGGUACCGGAAGAAGAAGCACCGGCUAACUACGUGCCAGCAGCCGCGGUAAUACGUAGGGUGCGAGCGUUAAUCGGAAUUACUGGGCGUAAAGGGUGCGCAGGCGGCCCCGCAUGUCAGGCGUGAAAUCCCCGGGCUUAACCUGGGAAUGGCGCUUGAAACUACGGGGCUGGAGUAUGGCAGAGGGAGGUGGAAUUCCACGUGUAGCGGUGAAAUGCGUAGAGAUGUGGAGGAACACCGAUGGCGAAGGCAGCCUCCUGGGCCAAUACUGACGCUCAUGCACGAAAGCGUGGGGAGCAAACAGGAUUAAAUACCCUGGUAGUCCACGCCCUAAACGAUGAUGACUAGUUGUUGGAGGAGUUAAAUCCUUUAGUAACGCAGCUAACGCGAGAAGUCAUCCGCCUGGGGGAGUACGGUCGCAAGAUUAAA